rnacentral:rRNA from 1 species
GGUUAAAAAGCUCGUAGUUGGAUUUCUGUUGAGGGCGACCGGUGUACACCUCGUGUAUUAUUUGGUUCGGUCUCGGCAUCCUCUUGGGGAACGUUUCUGGACUUUAUUGGACAGGGCGUGAUUCAAGACUUUUACUUUGAGGAAAUUAGAGUGUUCACGGCAGGCAAGCGCUUUGAAUACAUUAGCAUGGAAUAAUAAUAUAGGACCUUCGUUCUAUUUUGUUGGUUUCUAGAACUUAGGUAAUGAUUAAUAGGGACAAUUGGGGGCAUUCGUAUUAACGCGUCAGAGGUGGAAUUCUUGGAUUGCGUUACGACGAACUACUGCGAAAGCAUUUGCCAAAGAUGUUUUCAUUGAUCAAGAACGAAAGUAUGGGGAUCGAAGACGCUUAGAUACCGUCGUAGUCUAUACCAUAAACUAUGCCAACUAGAGAUUGGUGGGGUUCUCCUAUUUGGCUCCAUCAGCAUCUUAUGAGAAAUCAAAGUCUUUGGGUUCCGGGGGGAGUAUGGUCGCAAAGGCUGAAACUUAAAGGAAUUGACGGAAGGGCACCCCCAGGAGUGGAGCCUGCGGCUUAAUUUGACUCAACACGGGAAAACUUACCAGGUCCAGACAUAGUAAGGAUUGACAGAUUGAUAGCU